rnacentral:tRNA from 5 species
UGGGCUGUCGUUCAAUUGGCAGGACGACGGAUUCUGGCUCCGUUAAUCUAGGUUCGAGUCCUAGCAGCCCAGCCA